AUACGUAGGGGGCAAGCGUUGUCCGGAAUUACUGGGCGUAAAGAGCUCGUAGGCGGCUCAGCAAGUCGGUCGUGAAAGCCCGAGGCUCAACCUCGGAACUGCGGUCGAUACUGCUGUGGCUAGAGUCCGGUAGAGGAGAGUGGAAUUCCCGGUGUAGCGGUGGAAUGCGCAGAUAUCGGGAGGAACACCAGUGGCGAAGGCGGAUCUCUGGGCCGGUACUGACGCUGAGGAGCGAAAGCGUGGGGAGCAAACAGGAUUAGAAACCCCAGUAGUCC
rnacentral:rRNA from 1 species